rnacentral:lncRNA from 1 species
GAUAAACAUUGUUGUACAUAUGUCUUUAUGUACUUGUGGUUCUCUUUCUUUUUUAGAGACAAGAGUCUCACUCUGUCAUGCGCACUCAGGCUGCAAUGCAAUGACACAAUCACGGCUCACAGCCUCGAGCUUCUAGGCUCAAGCAAUCCUCCUACCUCAGCUCCAAAAGUGCUGGGAUUACAGGUAUGAGCCACAAUACCCAGCCUUAUGAUUUUAUUUCUAUUUGAUAAACUCCCAGCAAUGAUAUCACUGGAUUGAAGAACAUUCAUCUUUAAACUCAGUUUUCAAUGGAUUGGACGACGCCCAUCCACCGUGGGGAGGGAAAACUGUUCUACUCCAUCUGCUGAUUCAAAUUUUAAGCUCAUCUACAAACACUUCAAAGAUACUCCCAGAAUAAUGUUUAACCAAAUAUCUGGGUCCACCAUGACCUAGUCAAGUUGAUACAUGAAUUAACCAUCACAGGACAAUUUUCUGCCUCCAAAUCAUUCUGAAGUUUGGAACGUUUUUCACAGAACUGGUUUGUUCUCUUUUUUGAGUUCUCUGUUCAAAUGUCAACACCUCAGACUGACCUUUCCAAACUGCACUGACUCAGAAGGCCUCCCCCAGAGUUACCACAUUCUCUCAUAUCUUACUGAGUUUCGUUUAUAACACUUAUCCCAAUAUGUAAUUAUCUUAUUUACAUCUUACUUGUUUUUAAUGUCUCUCUCUCCUAUUAGAACAUAUUAGGGUGGAAAACGUGUAUGCCUUGUACUUUAAUAGAAUCCACCAAAAAUAUACUUGCGGUAAAUAAAUAUUAUUUAUUUCUUUUUUUUUUUUUUUUCAGAUGGAGUCUCAUUCUGUCGCCCACGCUGGAGUGCAGUGGUGUAAUCUCUGCUCACUGCAACCUCCACGUCCUGGGUUCAAGCAAUUCUCCUGCCUCAGCCUCCCCAGUAGCUGGGAUUACAGGCACAUAACACCAUGCCUGGAUAGUUUUUUGUAUUUUUUUAGUAGAGACCGGGUUUCACCAUGCUGGCCAGGCAGGUCUCGAACUCCUGACCUUGUGAUCCGCCUGCCUCGGCCUCCCAAAGUGCUGGGAUUACAGGUGUGAGCCACCCCGCCUGGCCAACAAAUAUUAUUUCAACAUCAGUGGAAAAAUUGACACCUGAAUGAUGUCAGAUUUAAAAGACUGUUAUAAACAAAUUUUCCUUACCAAAUUCCAAACACUAUAUGUAGAUAAGCCCUCCUGUAGGAAGGCUAAUCUCCCCCUUUCCUAAUCUCCCCCUUUUUGCUGGUGGGCUAGACAUAGUGACUGGUUGCUGAAGAAUAGAGUGUAGAAGGAGAGGAAUAUGCUGGGUGCAGUGGCUCACGCCUGUAAUCCCAACACUUUGGGAGGCCGAGGUGGGUGGAUCACCUGAGGUCGGGAGUUUAAGACCAGCCUGACCAACAUGGAGAAACCCCGUCUCUACUAAAAAUACAAAAUUAGCCGGGGUGGUGGUGCAUGCCUGUAAUCCCAGCUAUUCGGGAGGCUGAGGCAGGAAAAUCGCUUGAACCCGGGAGGCAGAGGUUGCAGUGAGCUGAGAUCGUGCCAUUGCACUCCAGCCUGGGCAACAAGGGCGAAACUCUGCCAAAAAAAAAAAAAAAAGGAGAAGGAGAGAAAUAGGGCCGGCCGCAGUGGCUCAUGCCUGUGAUCCCAGCACUUUGGGAGGCUGAGGCAGGUAGAUCACUUGAGGCCAGGAGUUCGAGACCAGCCUGGCCAACAUGGUGAAAACCCAUCUGUACUAAAAACACAAUAAAUUAGCCAGGCACAGUGGUGUGCACAUGUAGUCCCAGCUGCUUAGGAGGCUGAGGCAGAAGAAUUGCUUGAACCCGGGAGGUGGAGGUUACAGGGAGCAGACAUUGCACCACUGUACUCCAGCCUGGGUGACAGAGCAAGACUCUGUCUCAAAAAAAAAAAAAAAAAAAAAGAGAGGAAUAGUAAAUUUAUAGUGGAGAAAUCUGCAGUCACUAACUUAACCAAAUAACCACAUGGAUGUAUCCCUUAUUAAAGGUAAUCGAAAGGGCACAGCGUUACUUCUGUGGAAUUCUUGCCCAAAAUGCAUAAUCUCAAUCAAAUCAUAAGAAAACAUCAAAAUUGAGAGGCAUUCUACAAAACCAAUAAUUAACCAAUAUUCAUCAAAAGUGUCAAGGUCAUAAAAGACAAGAUGUUUAUAGAAAUACAUUAAUUUUGGUUUCUACUUAAAUUUUAUUUUUUAAAAUAAUUGUUUUAGAGAUGUGGCCUUGUUAGUUGGCCAGGAUGAUCUCGAACUCCUGACCUCAAGUGAGCCUCCUACCCCAGCCUCCCAAAGUCCUGGAAUUACAGGCAUGAACCACUGCAUCCAGCCAUGUUAGUUUCUUAGUUUUGACCAAUGCAACAGCAUGGUGAUGUAAAAUGUUAACAACAGGGGAAACUGGUAAGGCGUUUAUGAAAACUCACUUUAUUAUGUUUGCAACUAUUCUCUAAACAUAAAUUUAUUCCAAAAUAAAAAGUUUAUUUAAAAAAGUCACAAACCAGAAUCUAAAUAAACCACAGUAGUUUUUUCAAGGCUUCACAAAUAAGAGAAGAAAAAACUAAAGUAGAAAGUCUCUCUAGAGGCCAGGUUCCGUGGCUCUGGCUCAUGCUUGUAUUCUCAACACUUUUGGGGUAGGCAGGCAGAUGCAGGAUGGGCAGUGGAGGCAAUGGUGUCCUGAGAUGGGAGGUUCAGCUGAGCUAGGGAAGGUCAAGGCUGCAGUGAGCCAAGAUUGCACCAUUGCACUCCAGCCUGGGCAACAGAGUGAGACCUUGUCAAAAAAAAAGUUAUCUAGAGAAAUACUCAUAUGUUGCUACUGGUACUCAAAAGUGUAAUAUAAACCCUACCUUUUAAUGUUACUAACAUACACAUAUUUGAUAACUACUAUCCUCUGAAUUGUUUAAAACUUUUUUAAACCUCUUAGGUCUCAAUUAUUCUUUUUCAUUUCUGUCACCAUGCUUUAAAAUCUUUAAACGAUGCUAUCAUUAGAGUUAAUGCCUAUGUAGUGUUUAUAAUUGAAGAAUAUUUUUGAACAGAUUGGUACCAAACAGACAAUUACUGCUGUUGAAAUAAUCACUUCUUUAAAAACUUUGUACGUAAGAUGAUUCUUACUUGUCUAUAAGCUUUGGCUUAUUUUUCUUUUGAAUAAAUGCCAGAAAGAUUAUUAAGAAAUCAAUGGUAGGCCGGGCACGGUGGCUCACAUCUGUAAUCCUAGCACUGUGGGAGACCAAGGUGGGCAGAUCACUUGAGGCCAGGAAUUCGAGACUAGCCAGGCCAACAUGGUGAAACCCCAUCUCCACUAAAAAUACAAAAAUUAGCCGGGCAUGGUAGCAUGCACUUAUAAUCUCAGCUACUCAGGAGGCUGAGGCAUGACAAUUGCUUGAACCCAGGAGGCAAAGUUGCAGUAAGUCAAAAUUGCGCCACUGCAUUCCAGCCUGGGUAACAGAGUGAGACUCUGCCUCAAAAAAAAAAAGAAAGAAAGACAUGGUAAUGAGUACCUGACGAAAGAAUUCACAAAUUCUGUGAAGGCCGAGGAAUCUCCUAUCCAUCUGAGGAUAACAUAAAUGGAACGUUAGCUAUAGAGUCUUCUGCCAGUGUCUGAAAUGGUUCCUAUUAUAAGGUAGCAACUAUUCAAGAAUAAGAGGAGUUUGUUCUUUUUGGUCACUUGGGCAGUUAAAUUCAAGUUGGUAAUGCCAUUUGCUACAUUCACGUGUGUAAUGACAAAUUAAUUAAUAAUCCACCAUAGAAAAUAUCCUGGUUUUGGAUUUAUAAAGAAUUACCUGAAAAAUUGAUACUGAAGACACUGAAGAAAAAACUGUUGACUUGAUUUACAUUUCUUUACCUUCAUGCAACCACAGAUCAAAGUCAUGAAAGACAAAGAAAGAGUGAGAAAUUGUCACAGUUUGGAGGAGACUAAGUAAAUAUAAUAAAUAAAUCAAAGAUGAGAUCCUGGAUCAGAUUCCAGGACAGAAAAAGGACAUUAGGGGAAAAACUGGCAAAAUGUGAAUAAGGUCUGUUUUUUAGUUAAUAGUUUUGUUCCAGUGUUUAUCUCCUGGUUUUGAUAAUUAUACUAUGGUUAUGUAAGUUGUUAGCCUUAGGGGAAACUGGGUAGAGAGUAGAUAACAACUUUCUGAACUAUUUGGACAACUAUUUUGCAACUUCUGUAAGUCUAAAAUUAUUUCAAAAUAAAAAUAUUUUUUAAAUUACAUUGGAAAAUUCCUCAGGAAGUUGUUACUUCAGAGAGAGGCAUAGUAUUUCUCAAUGUUCUAAUUGAGUUUUUCUUCCAGCUUUGAGGCAGAACGUUGUUUCUUCGCUUGAGCAGCAGAUAAAGUGCAGUUGGCUUGUGCUUUAGUAGCAGUUUGCACAAAAGUAUAUAUUUUUAAAUACUAGAAUUAUGCUCUAUACACUGAGAUGUUGAUACUUUUGAGAGGCCAUUGAAAAAAAGGUUCACAUUUCUUAUAUUUAUGCCAGAGUAUUUGCUCAUUGAGAGGAAUAUUGGGCUGAUUUUCCCAGAUAAAUUAAAAUUGAGGGAUUUUUUUCCUUCUUUUUUUUUCUUAUCAAAUGCAUAUAGUUGAAUUUAAAUAUGUUAAAUGUAGAUAUCAUGUGACUUCACUGUGAUCCAAUGGGGGAAGUAAAUAUUUAGGAAUUUUGCUAAACUGGUUAUGGGAGAUUCGUUCUUUGAGAUUACCCUGUAAAUUACAAUCAUUAAAAGGAGGCCCUUUUGGCGGCUCAGUAAUUAUACGCUAUUUUAUAAUAGUGACCAUUGAUUAAUCACCUACCACAUGCUUGACCAUUAAACUGUCUCUAGUCUAAUACAGAAUCCAGCAAUGAAAUGUCCCAUUUCCUUAGAGAUGAAGAAAUGGAGGCUCAGAGAAAUUAAGUCACUUGCCUAAUUUAGGCUUCAAACUCAGUUUGGGCUGUUUCUAAAUGUCUAACUAUUUACUGGUUGACCUACCCUGCAAGAAAUUCUACCCUUAGUGAAUUGUGG